AUUGAACGCUGGCGGCAGGCUUAACACAUGCAAGUCGAGCGAGCGGCGGACGGGUGAGUAAUGUCUGGGAAACUGCCUGAUGGAGGGGGAUAACUACUGGAAACGGUAGCUAAUACCUCAUACCAUCAGAUGUGCCCAGAUGGGAGAAGCUAGUAGGUGGGGAAAUGGCUCACCUAGGUGACGAUCCCUAGCUGGUCUGAGGGGAUGCCCAGCCAACCUGGAACGGAGACACGGCCCAGACUCCUACGGGAGGCAGGAGUGUGGAAUAUUGAACAAGGGGCGCAAGCUAGAUGCAGCCAGGCCGCGUGUGUGAAGAGGGACUGCGGGUUGUAAAGCACUUUCAGCGAGGAGGCGUUACUCGCAGAAGAGGCACCGGUGAACUCCGUGCCAGCAGCCGCGUAAUUC
rnacentral:rRNA from 1 species